rnacentral:lncRNA from 1 species
UAGACCUUGGGACCGUUUUCCUUCUCGCCCUCGUAACCCAGCCGCCGUCGAGAGAGAGAGUCUCCAAAGAUGGAGGAAGCGACGCCACCGCCGACACCUGCGUGCUCCAUCGCCCGAGCCCCGUCCUGGGUCCGGUGGAGUUCGCGGGACCUCUCAGAUCGUGUCUGUGCAAGCGGGCGGGCACGAGGAUUGCUAGGAAUUGCUCACCCAAGCAAUACUCCUCCGAGGAACCGCACCGCGUCGCGGUCGGCAUCGUCGGGACUUCGUACGUCGGUAUGUCGCUACCCAUCCAGUUCGUACGGUCAUCCGCUUUGUAUAGGACCUCUUGGUGAUCGAUUCGGGGCGCUAUUGGGCGUAGUGGCCGUGUGCCGGCGACGCGCCACCGCGGUAAGCUGGCGGCGCCGCCUGGGCAUCGCCGAGGAGGAAAAGAAGGCGCGAGUGCCGUAGAUUUCAGAGCGCACGGCUAAGAUUUCAGAGAGAAAUCUUGCAAUCUGGUCUCAUUGUUUAUAGCACCAGCCCCUUCACAUCUCAUGUCCUCCUAGUCCAAAAGAAGGAUGGCACGUGAUGUUUUUGUGUGGAUUAUAGAAAACUCAAUGCAAUCACGAUAAAAAUGAGAUUCCCUAUUCUAGUUAUAGAUGAGAUUUUGGAUGAGUUGGCGGGCACUAAAUUCUUUCAAAUCUGGAUUUGAUAUCAGGCUACCAUCUGGUGUGCAAGCUACCCAUACAUGAACAUAAAACCGCCUUCAAGACUCACCAUGACUAUUUUCAGUUCCAGGUCAUGCCAUUCGGUUUGACCAAUGCCCCCACCACAUUUCAGUGUCUAAUGAACUCUGUUCGGAAGUUUGUGCUAGUCUUCUUGGAUAACAUCUUGAUUUAUAGUCCAACGAUGGAGCAACACAUUAGCCACCUCUAGCAAGUAUUUUCCCAACUCAGAGCACCAGUUAUAUAUGAAAAGGAGUAAGUGUACCAAUCCUCUUUGCAUUAUCUCAGCCACAUCAUUUCCCAGGAGGGGGUUGCUACUGAUCCUUCCAAAACCACAGCGAUGCGUGAUUGGCCCACCCCUGCAAAUGCUACUAACCUACGAGGUUUUUAGGACUCACUGGGUACUAUAGGAAAUUCAUCAAGCAUUAUGGCAUCAUUGCUAGACCAAUCACUAAUCUCCUCCUGAAGCAAUAGUUCCUAUGGUCUCCUCUGGUUGCUCAGGCUUUUAUGCAGUUAAAGCAAGGCAUGGUCACUACCCUGGUAUUGGCUAUUUUAGAUUUUGCACUACAGUUCAUUGUGGAAAUAGAUGCUUGUGAAAUGGGCAUUAGAGCAGUGUUUAUUCAAAAAGACCAACAUGUUUCUUUUCUGAGUAAAGCCUUGGGGCCGCAACACUAGAAAUUGUCCAUAUACGAAAAGAAUUCUUAGCCUUGAUCAUGGUAGUUGAAAGAUGGAGAUCUUAUCUUCAAAGACAAGAUUCCUAAUCUAAAUAGAACACUAGAGUCUGUCCUACCUUAUCGAGCAAACACUACAUUCUGACAUGCAAUACAAGGCGAUGACAUGGCUUAUGGGCCUCCAAUUUAAAGUCGUGUACAGGAAAGGGAAGGAAAAUAUAGUGGUCGAUGCUUUUGUCUAAGCAGGUCAGUUGGCUAGCAUUACCAUAGUCUUAGAAGAUAGACCACUUUGGGUCCAAGAAGUGUUGAACAGUUAUGUUACCAACCCAGCAGCUCAGGAACUGUUAGCCUAACUAGCCAUUAAAUCUUCCAAUGAGCAUGGCUAUUCUUUGUCUUAGGGCAUCAUAUGGUAUCACAUCAUAAUCUGGGUGGCUAACAAUUUUGCAUUGCAAACCAAACUAUUGCAUACUCUACAAUCCACUACACGGAGGGCAAGGCUACUUACCGUCGUAUUAGCCAAUUGUUUUAUUGGAAGGGCCUUUAAGAAGAUGUGGAGAACUUCGUGAAGCAAUGUGUGGUUUGCCAACAAGCCAAACAUGACCAUAACCACCCGAAUGGCUUGCUCAAACCUCUACCCAUUCAAGAGGGUGCCUGGCAAGCUGUCACCAUGGACUUUGUUGAAGGCUUACCUUCAUAUGAAGGUUACAACUCAAUUCUCGUUGUGGAUCGGUAUACUAAGUCAGCACAUUUCAUACCCCUGAAACACCCAUUCACUGCUCCUGGCGUUGCUCGUGCUGUGUUUGACAAUGUGAUAAAGCUCCACGGGUUGCCUAGAACCAUUAUCUCAGAUUGAGACCGCAUUUUCUUUAGUGCAUUUUGGAAGGAGCUAUUCACUAUCUAUGGCACAGGUUCGCUCCACAGCACCGCUUAUCACCCACAGCGGAUGGGCAGUCGGAGCGAGUAAACCAAUGCCUAGAGAUGUACCUACGAUGUACUAUUCAUGAGACUCCUAAGCAUUGGAAGCAGUGGCUCUCAUCAGCAGAGAUUUAGUACAACUCUUGUCUCCAUUCAUAUCUUGGUUGUUCCCCUGCAGAGCGUUGUAUGGAUAUGAACCCAACGCCGACAUGCUGCUGCAUUUGACAACACCGCUGGAGUCUAAAGCUAGAACCUGGGCCAUAGAUCAGGAUACUCACAUGUAAUGGCUGACAGAGAACUUGGCCAAAGCACAGAAUCGCAUGAGACAGCACGCCGAUCGUCAUCGGGUCGAUCGAUAAUUCCAAGUGGGUGAACAAAUUCUAGUCAAACUUCAACCUUCUGCUCAGACUUCCAUUGUCAACCACCCGUAUCCAAAACUCACGUUCAACUUCUUCGGCGCAUUUGAAGUCCUACAAAGGAUUGGUCCAGUUGCUUAUCAUCUCAAAUUACUAGAUAGCUAUCUCAUUCACCCAGUUUUCCACAUUAGUCAACUGAAACCCUUUACACCUAACUACACUCUAGUCUUUUCAAAUUUCAAUGUGCUUGUGGACUUAAGCACGUAGGAAUUGCAACCUGAACUCAUCCUGGAUAGACGCCUGGUGAAUCGGGCACCGCCUAUGGGCCCUAGUACAGGAGAGAGCACAACUUGUAAAAGAGGCAAAACCUAGACGAAAGAAGUAAGAAGAAAAAUAGUGUUGGUCACUUGUUCUCAAAUGCUAUGAAUCAAGAACAAGGCAACACAAGUGUUAAUGGUUAAAAACCUUCGUCCUUCGAAACAUUAUCUCUUUUAGGAUAUAAUGAUCUUUGGACGAAGGUCAUGAAGGACAUACCUUCAUCAUUUUAAUCAGCAUGGAUGUGAACAAAGACAUAUGAAACGCGAAGGGGAUAUGAAUAAUCAUUUCAAAUCAUUAGACUAUACAAAUUCUUAUUAAAUAACAUGAACAAACAUCAACGAUAUUUGAACUACAUUUGUACCUUCGACUUGACAGAAGGUGAAAAAGCAGGAGUGACGCGUGAAUGAUUACAAGUCAGCGUGAACAGUAUGGGGGUACUGUUCAUCUAUUUAUAGUCAUGGGAUGCAUCUCGGGCAAUAUUACAUUUGUGUCCUUAAUAACUAAUCAUAAUCAUGGUACAAACUAUCAGGGACUACACGGUCUUUUCCUCUUUAAGUCGAUGCCACCCUUCGUCUUAAGUAUGUCAUCAUGCCGAAGCUCUUUCGAUUGUAGCUUCGACAUAUAUCUUCAUGUUGUAUCUGCUUGCAUGUAGUCCUGACGAAGGUGUUUUUUCUUAGAGGACCUUCGGCGGAGAAGAAGGCCCCCAACAGUAGCCCCUUCGCGGUGCUAGAUCGUUUUUCGUAACGAGCUCGAUCUGCCAAAAACUCGAAGGCUUCAGAAUGCCGAAGGUCCGAAAAACACCUUCCCUCAGCUUGUUGCCGAGAAACGAUUAUAAUAUUCCAGGCGUCGAGCGGUCCACCAUUUAGCGAGUGCAGGUGACCUGGCGGUUCGCCUUCCCCCUGCAGCACUAUAUAAACAGACAGGUUGGUGAGGAGUUACCACAACAUUCAUUGCCAUUGCAUUGUUGUGCUGUUAAAAAAUUUAACCAUAGCUGAAGCUUUCUGCAUUGCGCUUUCGAGCAAACACUUCAUCGUUUAAGGUUAACUUCGUCAGAUGGUUUAGCUUCGCCAAACGGUAAAAACCGUCGAAAUGGCCAGAGUGCGAUCAACUGCAAGGCUGUCUCGUGAGGGGGACGAAACCGAGGCCACUGAAACGGCACCAAUUUCAGAAGUAAUGAAACGAUCAGGUCUAGUUGUGGGCGACGAAGGUGCUUCUCAUGCCAAAGCUGAACAGACUGUGGUUGAGGGUGAAGAUGUUGAGAGUGAAGAAGACUACAACAUUCUGAUCCCAACGAAGCCUAGUCAUCUAGAUUUUGAAAAAUCUACUGUGACUGAAGAUUACAUGCCUAUGAUGAUGAAAUUGGGCUAUUUUGGAGAGGCUGAGAGUAAGCUUAUUCGAUUUGUUGGAGCAGAGACUACCCUAGAGCCGAAGAAGGAUGAAGUUGUCGUUUUCAAGAGCUUCUUCAGAGCGGGGCUGUGAUUCCCCCUUAAUGAGAUGAUAGGGGUAGUUUUAAAAAACUUUGAAAUAUAUCUUCAUCAGCUGACUGCCAACGCUAUUGUUAGGCUCGGCGUCUUUAUCUGGGCCCUCCGAAACCAAGGGAUGAGCCCGGAUACUGGAGCUUUCUGCCGAGUGCACGAGCUGCACUAUCAGACGAAGGCUAGGGCAGAUGGCCUUCAUGAGAAUUUUGGCUGUUACAAUUUUGCGUAUCGAAAGGAUACAAAAGCACCAGUCCUUAGCUACCGCACAAAGUGGUCAACCGGUUGGAAAAAAUGAAUGGUUCUAUAUGAAGGCUAACGAGAAAAAGAGGGAGAAGUUGAUGACCAUGGUCAUGAGUCCACUGAGUUUGAGCUUCGGAAUGACCCGACCCUUAUGCAAUAUGCAACUGGGGUCACCCUGUUAGAUGCCUGAAGUAGAAUUUAGAGUGGUAGCUGAGCAGAUCAGUACCAGGGACUUGGUGCAAGAAUACUUGGUGAAUAGAACAUAUCCGAUGUCAAGUGGCUGGGGAAUGCUGAAGAGGAAAGAAGUGGGGAAGAAGCAUGAACUUGUCUGUCUUGCUUACCGUUUUAAAUUUGAAAAACAAUUCAAGAAGCCUUGCAAAGAAUGGCUAGACAUGAUUGAGACCAUGUACAAUGAAAUACUUGGGAAAUAUACCAAAAGGGAAGAUUAACUAAUGACCGCAGCCUUCGGUACUUGCCCGAAAUGAAGAUUGAACCGGGUGAUGGAGGCCUUGAAAUUUGAAUAUCCUGAUUAUAAAAGGAUUAACAAAGGUGCUGAAGGGGUAAAAAGAAAAAAGAACUGUCAGCAUUCUGAGCAGGCAAGCUACUAGAAUGGUAAAGGAGGCUGAGAAGGCUUCAAAGAAGAGAAAAUCCACUCCUGAGCCGAAGGCGGCAGUUUCGAAGAAGAGGAAGGCUGAAACUCCGGAGCCGAAGAUAACUGAAGCAACAGAGGAGACUCCUUCGAUGCCUCUUGCUGCCGAAAUAACAGAAAUUUUAAAGGUAAUGACUGAAUCUUUACCCAUCAAGCUGCUAAGUCCUCUGGGGCCAGAACUGAGGAAACUUUUACAGAAGAAGAAUGAGCCUUCAGCUACAAAGGAGAAGGCUGACGGUCAGAAAAAACGAAGAAUUGUUAAUGUCAUGCAAGCCAUUGAGCGGACACCACCGCUAGCCUCGGCAUCGAAAUAGCACCUAUUGCAAGUGCCGAGGCUACUGCCGAAGCUGAUACCUCUGCCGAAGCUGCAGCUGCUGUCGAAGCUGCCAAUCUUGAAAGUACACUGUCAGGGAUUGAUAAAAUUAUUUUGGAUAUGGCUGCAGAAGAGACAGCUGCGGCUGCAGAGAAGGUCAUGGCCGCAGUGCCUAACAAAGGAAAAAAGAUUGCUGAUGCCGCUUCAGAAGAAAGGGACUUUGACCUUCGGAACCUGGUGGGUCAAGAGUUGUCUGAGGCUGAAAAGGAGCUAUAGAAAUAUGGGAUAUACUGUGGCUACCAGCCAGGAGCUAUGCUCUUUGGUGAAAUUGACGAAGGAGCCUUAGGAUGCAUUCGUGAUCGCACCGAGGCAAAGAUAAUCGACACCCUAUCGAAGAGUGUCGGUUUCCCGAAGCUUGAGGCUGAUAUUAGCGGCUACCGACGACAACAUAUCGUCGGCAAUUUGUUUUACUCCAAUUUCAAGGUAAAAUUCUUUUUGCCUAAAUUUCUGUUUUUCUUUGUGAUGAAUCAAAAUUUCCUGAUGUCGGCUUAUUUCUACAGAGUAUGUUGUUAAGUAAAGCAUUGAGGAUGCAACAAGACCUCGAGGAUAAGAAAAAUAAAAUCAUAAUCGAGGGCUUGAAGAGUAAGAUCAAGGAUUACGAAGCUUCUCUAGAGAAGAAGGAUUUCCUGCUUCAAGCAAUCGAGGGUUCGCUCGCAGAAAUUCAAGCCGAAAAUGCUAGAUUAAGCGAGGAGCUUCUCCAAAGUCAAACAACCUUAAAAGAAAAAUCAGAGAGCUUCGAACAAGAGAAGAAAGAUCUGCAAGCAAAGUAUGAAGCUGUAGCUGAUAAAAAUACUAAGCUGCAGAAAUCAUUGAAGGACCUUCAGAAUACAUGCUUGGAAUUUGGCAACCACUGCGUGCAACAGUUAAAGGGGGUCUUCAGCUCGGUUGGGGCCAGUUCUGAAGAUAUUGCCCCUUCGUCUGAAGACAUAUCCAGUACCUUCAAAUAUAUUGAAAAUGAAGUUGAUGCACUCGAUGAAGUGAUAGCUGGGCACGAUGACUUAUGUGCUUUGCCAGCCUCUCGUGGCACAGCUGCUACAUUCUUGAAGGCUGGAUGCACGCACACGAGGACAGUAAACAGACCAACCUUCAGCCUGUCGCCAUCAGAUCUGAUUGAUAUUCCUAGUGAAGCCCGAAGCAUCGGAAAUAGAUUCAUCAAUCAGAUUUGGGCUAAGGGUGGACGAGAGUUGGCUGGGGACGAAGCCUGAAACCUGCUUAAACCAGUACGGAACUUAUACCUCUUACUUGCCUUGAUUCUUAUAAUUACUUUUAUCUUAUACCAUUGUUUGCCUGCAGGAUAGCGGUGCCGAAGGUUGAUAACCCGAAGCAUACUCCGAAGGUUGCUGAGAUGAAGCUUCUCUUUAAACCUUCCUGUAUAGAGCUUAGGAAAUAUUUGCAUUAUCUUUGCAAAAAAAUGUAAUCGAGAAUUAAACAGUACUGUGUAUA